AUUGAACGCUGGCGGCAGGCCUAACACAUGCAAGUCGAACGAGUGGCGGACGGGUGAGUAAUGUCUGGGAAACUGCCUGAUGGAGGGGGAUAACUACUGGAAACGGUAGCUAAUACCGCAUACCAUCGGAUGUGCCCAGAUGGGAGUAGCUUGUUGGUGGGGUAAAGGCUCACAAAGGCGACGAUCCAUAGCUGGUCUGAGAGGAUGACCAGCCAAACUGGAACGGAGACACGGUCCAGAUGCCUACGGGAGGCAGCAGUGGGGAAGAUUGCACAAUGGGCGCAAGCCUGAGGCAGCCAUGCCGCGUGUAUGAAGAAGGCCUUCGGGUUGUAAAGUACUUUCAGCGGGGAGGCGUUACCCGCAGAAGAAGCACCGGCUAACUCCGUGCCAGCAGCCGCGGUAAUUC
rnacentral:rRNA from 1 species